UACGGAGGGUGCAAGCGUUAAUCGGAAUUACUGGGCGUAAAGCGCACGCAGGUGGCUGAGUCAGUCGAUUGUGAAAGCCCUGGGCUUAACCUGGGAAUUGCAGUCGAUACUACUCGGCUCGAGUAUGGGAGAGGGCAGUGGGAAUUCCCGGUGGUAGCGGUGAAAUGCGUAGAUAUCGGGAGGAACAUCAGUGGCGAAGGCGGCUGACCUGGCCCAAUACUGACACUCAGGUGCGACGAGCGUGGG
rnacentral:rRNA from 1 species